AUGCAGCAGAGCACCCGCCCUGUUAUCAAGGCAGACACCACUGAUGCCGCGGUUGAAAGGAUUCUCGGUGAACUUGGGGCGGACACUGGAACAAGCACCAACAAAGAGAAUGUCAUCUACUUUGAUGGCUGGGACGGGCUUGGGGCAUCUGCUGUCCUGCAAGCUGUAGCCAAACACCUCAGAGUAUCAAAUGAGCCAUCAACAAGGCCUGCAGGGCUUGAGUUUGAGAAAAUCAUCCACAAUGACUGCUCAAAGUGGGAGAGCAGAAGAGCAAUGCAAAGGAAAAUCGCAGAGCAGCUGGACCUUCCCACCCGGGUGAUUGAGAUGUUUGACAAGCAAGAUGAGGAGGAUGAUUUCAGUGGUAAGGAGGAGCUUGAUGUAUUAAAUUUUGGUCUUUCUCUAUAUGGAUAUCCCAAUAGCAGGAUGUUGUGGACCUUCCAAGGGAGGUUCCGGCUUGUCCCCAAGAUGAUAGACGGUGUGAAGAACAGCAGAAGAACAGAUGUUAUUCUUUCAGCUUCAAGUGACGUGCGGGAUCCACGUGAGCUUUGGAUGUAUUUAGUGCACGAGGAGGCUGCACAAGUUCCCUUCAGUAAGCAUGGUCACUGCAUCAUCGAUCCCGGGAUUGCUGCUGAAUGUGUUUUGUAUGCACUUAAGCAAUCCUGGAUUGGCUCUCGCAUCGUUGACUAUGACUGGGCUGUCCACACCAGUAACUAUUGGAUAUGUGAUGGUAUCAUUCCACUGACAGACAUUGAUAAAGCAUUACAAAUUGGCAAUGUUUUGCAGCAUGAGAUGCCAUUGUUAAACAUUGACACCCGGCUCAACAAUGAUGAAUCAGUAGUAAUAGCUUCCUACCACCUGGCAAUGUCUGCUGAGUGCAUGUCCUAUUGGAUUUCCACAACAACUUCAACCUCUGGAUUUGUAGUGAGCCCCUCCGGUGUAAUUCCCGAGAAUAUGUUUUGGCAUUCGCACAGGCUUGGCGUGAUCAAGCUUUCAAGGUGUACCUUCAGUUUCUCAUCGCCUCCAUUCCUCUGUUGCCACAGCUUCAGAUUCUUGUGGCUUGAUAAUUGCCAAGACCUCCUAACAGGAAGAAGUACCAUAGAUCCUCACCAUACAGAGGCAAAUAAGGAGUUGGGCAACAACACCAUGACAUCAUGGGAAUGCUUCCAAAGCUUGUGGGUGCUUGACCUGCGCUACACGGAUUUGGAUCAAAUCAUGUCCCCAUGGAUGAUGGAUCUCAUGAGCCAGCUCAGGGAGCUAAACGUGAUGGGAGCCAAGAGCUGGGACAUGAGCCAUAUACGAGGAUGGCUGCGUAAUGUUCGCAAGCUCCGGGUAACAAAGUCCAACUGCUGGUUCAACAACGAUGUGUUCUCAGAGAUGGAAAGUAUGGAGCUUCUUGAGUUUUCAGGAAAUACCAUCAGAGAAGGGAUGACAAACUUAUCUGCAUCAGCCAACAACAGUCGACUCAAAAUUGUCACUAUUGAUGGAUGUGAUGAGUUAAACAUUAUCUCUUUGAGGGACUGCAAAGAAUUUAAUAACCUAUUCAUGAAAAGGUUUUCGAGGGUUCUCGAGGUGCUGGACCUGUCAGGCACAAGUUUGAAAACCCUCAACCUCGAAGGAGUGGAAGACAGGUCACUCCCUAAGCGGAUUAUCCUGCUGGGCUGUGAGAAGCUCCGUGCAAUCUUGUGGCCACUGAAUGUGGAAAAGGGAAGGCUGAGGGAAAUUUUCUUGCACGUUGAUACCACCUCACCAUCAACAUCAGCUUACGGAGGAGAGGCACCAUUUGCACAUCCACAUGCUGAUCAAUCCCUCCAACGGCAAAAGGAAGAAAAAUAUAAGUGUGGAUGGCAGUUUUCUCUCAUGGAUACAAGGCUCCUUAGGUCGCUUUCUCCUGUAAGGAUUUAUUUGAAGUACUCGUCAAUACAUAUGGACAUUUUUCCUACAGCUAAUGUUGGUGGUAGGAACAUCCAAGAAACAAGCAGUGACACACUAGUGCAAGUCCAACCACAUACAAGUAACAUUAUGGACUCCAAGUACAGAGAUGCCUUGAAGGAAGGCCCAAUUGCAGCAAUGAUGAUGUGGGACUGCCCCGAGAUAUACAUUUAUUCACGUCUAUCUGUGUGUAGCAUAAAGAUGAUCAUGCACGGGCAGGGCAACAUACUUUUGCAGGAUGCUCCAAGUGCUAGUAGUAGCGCUUUAUUAUUGCCCGAUUUUGUAUGUGAGAUGGUUAUAUCACUGCACGUGUAUGAUAAUGCGUCCAUCACCAGUGUCCCUUCACCUCCCAAAGGAUCAGGAUGGAAUAGGCUAAGAUGGUGCCGAAUCGAGAGGUGCCCCAAGCUACACACAGUCUUCAUUGUUCCCCGAAGUCCAGACAUUCUCGAGACAUUUUGGGCGUCCCAGCUCCUCUCUGCGUGCUACAUUUGGGGCAGGCCGGUUAUAUCAUUCUUUAGAUUCAUGCGAUUCCUGCACCUGGACCACUGCCCUAGGCUCGUACAUGUGUUCCCCUUCACCAGAUGGGAGAGCAACUUCUCUCACCUGCAAACACUCGAGAUAGUGUACUGUGUUGACCUCAGAGAGCGCAUCUGUGGGCGCAGGAUAUUUGCACCUAAACUCGAGACCAUAAAGAUCAGGGGCUGCUGGAGCUUCAGGUGUCUGCCGUUCGUUGGACACGACACCAAGCCACCCAAGGUUGACUGCGAAAAGGAAUGGUGGGAUAACUUGGAAUGGGAUGGGUUGGAGAAGUACCACCACCCUUCCCUGUACGAGCUGACUCACUCGCUGUACUACAAGGCCAAGCUACCAAGAGGUAACCCAUCCCUUCAUGAACUGAUCUUCAGUUUCCGUCAACCUGCAUCUGCGCACCAUUACAAGUUUUCGAGCAAACGAGACGACCUGAGUGUGGGCAUUCAGCUUAUGUACCAUGAGCUCCUUAGUGCUCAUGUCGCUCUCGUGCUCCUUCUCAAUGUGUGA
rnacentral:rRNA from 1 species